AGAGUUUGAUCCUGGCUCAGGAUGAACGCUGGCGGUAUGCUUAACACAUGCAAGUCGUACGAGAGUUUUUAACUCAAGUGGCGGACGGGUGAGUAACACGUGAGAAUCUGCCUUUAGGAGGGGGAUAACAACUGGAAACGGUUGCUAAUACCCCAUAUGCUUUCGAGUGAAAUGGAUUUAUCCGCCUAAAGAGGAGCUCGCGGCUGAUUAGCUUGUUGGUAGGGUAAUGGCCUACCAAGGCGACGAUCAGUAUCUGGUUUGAGAGGAUGAUCAGACACACUGGAACUGAGACACGGUCCAGACUCCUACGGGAGGCAGCAGUGGGGAAUUUUCCGCAAUGGGCGAAAGCCUGACGGAGCAAUACCGCGUGAGGGAAGACGGCCUAUGGGUUGUAAACCUCUUUUCUCAGGGAGGAACUCAAUGACGUGUACCUGAGGAAUAAGCAUCGGCUAACUCCGUGCCAGCAGCCGCGGUAAGACGGAGGAUGCAAGUGUUAUCCGGAAUCACUGGGCGUAAAGCGUCUGUAGGUGGUUUAAUAAGUCAACUGUUAAAUCUUGAGGCUCAACUUCAAAAUCGCAGUCGAAACUAUUAGACUAGAGUAUAGUAGGGGUAAAGGGAAUUUCCAGUGGAGCGGUGAAAUGCGUAGAGAUUGGAAAGAACACCGAUGGCGAAGGCACUUUACUGGGCUAUUACUAACACUCAGAGACGAAAGCUAGGGUAGCAAAUGGGAUUAGAUACCCCAGUAGUCCUAGCUGUAAACAAUGGAUACUAGAUGUUGAACAGAUCGACCUGUGCAGUAUUAAAGCUAACGCGUUAAGUAUCCCGCCUGGGAAGUAUGCUCGCAAGAGUGAAACUCAAAGGAAUUGACGG
rnacentral:rRNA from 1 species